rnacentral:rRNA from 1 species
UCGGGAAUUUUGGGCAAUGGGCGAAAGCCUGACCCAGCAACGCCGCGUGAAGGAUGAAGUAUUUCGGUAUGUAAACUUCGAAAGAAUAGGAAGAAUAAAUGACGGUACUAUUUAUAAGGUCCGGCUAACUACGUGCCAGCAGCCGCGGUAAUACGUAGGGACCAAGCGUUGUUCGGAUUUACUGGGCGUAAAGGACGCGUAGGCGGCAAUUCAAGUCAUCUGUGAAAUCUCCGGGCUUAACUCGGAACGGUCAGAUGAUACUGCUUUGCUAGAGUGCAGAAGGGGCAAUCGGAAUUCUUGGUGUAGCGGUGAAAUGCGUAGAUAUCAAGAGGAACACCUGAGGUGAAGACGGGUUGCUGGGCUGACACUGACGCUGAGGCGCGAAAGCCAGGGGAGCAAACGGGAUUAGAUACCCUAGUAGUCCCUGAGCGGGCUGGCAAGGCGCAU